UACCAGCACCCCGAGUGGUCGGGACGUUUAUUGGGCCUAAAGCAUCCGUAGCCGGUUCUACAAGUCUUCCGUUAAAUCCAGCUGCUUAACAGAUGGGCUGCGGAAGAUACUAUGGAGCUAGGAGGCGGGAGAGGCAAGCGGUACUCGAUGGGUAGGGGUAAGAUCCGUUGAUCCAUUGAAGACCACCAGUGGCGAAGGCGGCUUGCCAGAACGCGCUCGACGGUGAGGGAUGAAAGCUGGGGGAGCAAACCGG
rnacentral:rRNA from 1 species